rnacentral:rRNA from 1 species
UACAGAGGUCGCGAGCGUUGUUCGGAUUCAUUGGGCGUAAAGGGCGCGUAGGUGGCUAGGUAAGUCGGAUGUGAAAUCUCGGGGCUCAACCCCGAAACUGCAUUCAAUACUGCGAUGCUCGAGUACUGGAGAGGAGACUGGAAUUCAUGGUGUAGCAGUGAAAUGCGUAGAUAUCAUGAGGAAGGCCAGUGGCGAAGGCGGGUCUCUGGACAGUUACUGACGCUGAGGCACGAAGGCCAGGGGAGCAAACGGG